GACGAACGCUGGCGGCGUGCUUAACACAUGCAAGUCGAACGAAGUGGCGAACGGGUGAGUAACGCGUAAUCAACUGCCUAUUAGAGGGGGAUAACUAUUGGAAACGAUAGCUAAUACCGCAUACUAGUAGAUGGACCUGCGUUGUAUUAGCUAGUAGGUAGGGUAAUGGCCUCCCUAGGCGACGAUACAUAGCCGAGCUGAGAGGAUGAUCGGCCACAUUGGGACUGAGACACGGCCCAGACUCCUACGGGAGGCAGCAGUAGGGAAUCUUAGGCAAUGUGGGACACCCUGACCGAGCAACGCCGCGUCAGUGAGGAAGGUUUUCGGAUCGUAAAGCUCUGUUAUUAAGGAAGCGGUACUUAACCAGAAAGGGACGGCUAACUACGUGCCAGCAGCCGCGGUAAUAC
rnacentral:rRNA from 1 species